rnacentral:rRNA from 1 species
CCUACGGGUGGCUGCAGUGAGGAAUAUUGGUCAAUGGGCGUUAGCCUGAACCAGCCAAGUCGCGUGAAGGAUGACUGCUCUAUGGGUUGUAAACUUCUUUUAUAUGGGAAUAAAGUGUGGGAUGUAUCCUACUUUGCAUGUACCUUAUGAAUAAGGAUCGGCUAACUCCGUGCCAGCAGCCGCGGUAAUACGGAGGAUCCGAGCGUUAUCCGGAUUUAUUGGGUUUAAAGGGAGCGUAGGCGGCUUUUUAAGUCAGUGGUGAAUGUUUGGGGCUCAACCAUAAAAGUGCUGUGGACUCUGGAGGCCGUGAGUAUGUUUGAGGCAGGCGGAAUUCGUGGUGUAGCGGUGAAAUGCUUAGAUAUCACGAAGAACCCCGAUUGCGAAGGCAGCCUGCCAAGCUGUGACUGACGCUGAUGCUCGAAAGCGUGGGUAUCAAACAGGAUUAGAUACCCGUGUAGUC